GUGCUGUCUUUGGCAGCACAUGUACUAAAAAAUUGUAAUGAUACAGAGAUUAGCAUGGCCCCUGCACAAUGUUGCCAUGCAAAUUUAUGAACUAUUCCAUAUUUUU
ensembl:snRNA U6 U6 spliceosomal RNA